rnacentral:rRNA from 1 species
AACGAACGCUGGCGGCAUGCCUAACACAUGCAAGUCGAACGAAGCCUUCGGGCUUAGUGGCGCACGGGUGCGUAACGCGUGGGAACCUGCCCCUUGGUUCGGAAUAACAGUUAGAAAUGACUGCUAAUACCGGAUGAUGACGAAAGUCCAAAGAUUUAUCGCCGAGGGAUGGGCCCGCGUAGGAUUAGCUAGUUGGUGAGGUAAUGGCUCACCAAGGCGACGAUCCUUAGCUGGUCUGAGAGGAUGAUCAGCCACACUGGGACUGAGACACGGCCCAGACUCCUACGGGAGGCAGCAGUGGGGAAUAUUGGACAAUGGGCGAAAGCCUGAUCCAGCAAUGCCGCGUGAGUGAUGAAGGCCUUAGGGUUGUAAAGCUCUUUUACCAGGGAUGAUAAUGACAGUACCUGGAGAAUAAGCUCCGGCUAACUCCGUGCCAGCAGCCGCGGUAAU